GUCCUCCUCGCCCUCCAGGCCGCCCGCGCCGCGCCGGAGUCCGCUGUCCGCCAGCUACCCGCUUCCUGCUUCCCGCCGCUGCCAUGCUGCCCGCCGCGCUGCUCCGCCGCCCGGGACUUGGCCGCCUCGUCCGCCACGCCCGUGCCUAUGCCGAGGCCGCCGCCGCCCCGGCUGCCGCCUCUGGCCCCAACCAGAUGUCCUUCACCUUCGCCUCUCCCACGCAGGUUCGGGCGCUGCGGGUCGAGACCCUCCGUGACCGCCGCCCCCGGAGUCCAGGGUCCCCACCCCCAGGGCGCGACCCCCGCUUCCGGGCCCCCGGACCCGUGCGCCCCGGAAGCCGAGGCCACUCAGCCCUGGACCCCCGGCCCUGCCUCUGCUGCCCGAGCCCUGCGCUGCCCUCGUCUCGGGCACCUCCCCGAGAUAAGCGUCUCCUGGGUGUCCUCCCCGAUCUCCCUGGCCAAAGCCUGGGUGUCGCCGGAUCGCUGCAUUCCCAUUUCGCGGAUCAGUAGAAUGAGGCGCAACUGUUGAGGACCAAAGCUGCAACCUCGGAUCCCUGCGCUGGGUUGUCUCAGUGCCUCACAUCAGCGCCAGGUCCUGCCCUGACCCAUUUUUUAGCAGGACAGGCCGAGUCCCCGGUGGGCGCGGGGCCGGCCUGCCCCGCCAUCAUUCCCCACGCUGUUGUCUGCAGGUGUUCUUCAACGGUGCCAACGUCCGGCAGGUGGACGUGCCCACGCUGACCGGAGCCUUCGGCAUCCUGGCGGCCCACGUGCCCACGCUGCAGGUCCUGCGGCCGGGGCUGGUGGUGGUGCAUGCAGAGGACGGCACCACCUCCAAAUACUUUGGUGAGUCCGGUGGAGGGCUGCAGGGCCAGGCCAGGCUGGGGCUCCACAUCCCAGGUCAGUCUCCGUCUCAGUUGAGGCUGCGAGAAAAAAUAGUUUUAGGCCGGGCACGGUGGCUCACGCCUGUAAUCCCGCACUUUGGGAGGCCGAGGCAGGUGGAUCACCUGAGGUCAGGAGUUCAGAGACCAGCCUGGCCAACAUGAUGUAACCCCGUCUCUUCCAAAAAUACAGAAAACUGGCCGGGCGCGGUGGCUCCCGCCUGUAAUCCCAGCACUUUGGGAGGCCGAGGCGGGGGCAUCACGAGGUCAGGAGAUCGAGACCAUCCUGGCUAACAUGGUGAAACCCCGUCUCUACUAAAAAUACAAAAAAUUAGCCAGGCGUGGUGGCGGGCGUCUGUAGUCCCAGCUACUCAGGAGGCUGAGGAGAUCGCGCCACUGCACUCCAGUCUGGGCAACAAGAGUGAAACUCCAUCUCAAAAAAGAAAAGUACAGUUUUAGCAGGUUUGUCCACUGAGGAGCCUGGGCUGGGCGGUGAUGAAAGCGAACCAGAGGGGACCCUGCUCUCAGCCGGUUUAUGAUUGGCUCUGGACCAACCAACGUAUGAUGGUGGAAGCAAGAGAUGUAAAACCACCCAGGCCCAGUGGCUCAUGCCUGUAAUCUCAGCACUUUGGGAGACUGAAGUGGGAGAAUCGCUUAAGCCCAGGAGUUUGAGACUAGCCUUGGCAACAUAGUGAGAACCUGUCUCUAC
rnacentral:sRNA from 1 species